rnacentral:rRNA from 1 species
GACGAACGCUGGCGGCGUGCCUAAUACAUGCAAGUCGAGCGAGUCUGCCUUGAAGAUCGGAGUGCUUGCACUCUGUGAAACAAGAUACAGGCUAGCGGCGGACGGGUGAGUAACACGUGGGUAACCUGCCCAAGAGAUCGGGAUAACACCUGGAAACAGAUGCUAAUACCGGAUAACAACAGAUGAUGCCUAUCAACUGUUUAAAAGAUGGUUCUGCUAUCACUCUUGGAUGGACCUGCGGUGCAUUAGCUAGUUGGUAGGGUAACGGCCUACCAAGGCGAUGAUGCAUAGCCGAGUUGAGAGACUGAUCGGCCACAUUGGGACUGAGACACGGCCCAAACUCCUACGGGAGGCAGCAGUAGGGAAUCUUCCACAAUGGACGCAAGUCUGAUGGAGCAACGCCGCGUGAGUGAAGAAGGAUUUCGGCUCGUAAAGCUCUGUUGUUGGUGAAGAAGGACAGGGGUAGUAACUGACCUUUGUUUGACGGUAAUCAAUGAGAAAGUCACGGCUAACUACGUG